UCAUGUUUAUUAAUGGCGGUGAGUUGUAUUUGUAACAACAGCGCCAUAGUGAACGAGUGAAAAUCAUAACGUAAUUAAUUAACCAUGGAACGGCCGAUAAAACAAGAUAGAUAUUACUUGCUGAGAGGUGUCAUUCUAGUUUUAUCAGUAUAUAAUUUCAAGUGCGUAUCGAUAUUUGCAGUUGAAAAAACACAAGCGAGUUCGAAUGGAUCAAAUAAAACGACUAAACCGAACGAGACACAAACAACUGACGGGCGAACAUUUAGGACGUUGGCUAUUGUUUCUUUAUGUAUACAUGUGCUGAUUGUAUUGUCGCAGGUUGCAGUAGAACUCUACCGGCGAGCAAAUAAAAGAUCGUAUUCAAAAGCCUCUCAACAGCAUGUUCCUGAACAGACAGAAGAACUUAUAAUGUAGCCUUUCGACAGGAUUGUCCUUACCCGGAAACUUAUGACAUAGAGGCAGUGUUGUCAUUACCUUUUUCAAUUGUAUUUUAGCAUGGUUGAACCAUUUUCUCGUAAAUAUUCAUUGAUUCGUACAUGUAGAGGAAUGUUAAAAAAGUGCAAGUCGUGAUUCUAUUCGUUUUUUUUAUUAUACUAUCCAAAGACUCUGCGGGAGAUAAGCUUUAUAUCUUCAGUGAUCUUUCUUAUGCUACCACAUAUGUGGAUAUAAUUAUUGCUUAAAAUAAAGAAGUCCAUGUGUUGUUAUGUUUUUUGCAGAAUCGCACGUUACAAACCAGAAAUCACUCGCAUAAGAACUUUCAGCGAAGUUAAACUGGAUGUAAA